rnacentral:ncRNA from 1 species
UAAAAGGCUUAGAAGGUGCAUAGUAGGUGACCUUGCGGUUUAACAGAGAUGAUAUGUCAUUGGCUGAGAACAUAUUUUAUACUAUGGAAGCUGAAUUUUCACACCGGAGUCGUAUCUUUGAAGUACGUUGUAUGUGUAGGAGAUAACGUUGAUGCGCGUUAAGCAUAUAAGAGCGUCUGCAUAGCAGGAACUAUGGGUGGUACCGCGGAAAUUUUUCGUCCCAGUU